ensembl:snRNA U6 U6 spliceosomal RNA
GUACUCGCUUUGGCAGCACAUAUACUAAAAAUUGGAACCACAGAGAAGAGUAGCAUGGCCCCUGCGCAAGGAUGACAUGCAAAUUCGUGAAGCAUUCCAUAUUUUU